rnacentral:rRNA from 1 species
UGUUGAUAUGAUAACGUAAGGGAAAAAUUUGAUAUUACCUUACUAUUAGUGUUGUCCAAAGCUGUGAGAUGUGUUAGGACCACAUCGUUAAUGGCUGUUAAACUAUCAAACUCCGGAAACGCCCUAAAGGUCAUAGUACCAAGCUAUUGUCGAAAGGCAAUAAGUGGCUGAAGUCAUUACUCAGGUAUGGUAAUAAGCUAUGAUAUGAAUGAAAAUGAAAUGGGUUAUCGCGGAUCUAAGUCAUCUUUAUUUAAAUAUAACAGCCAACCAAUAAUUAAUAAAGGUGUAAAAGAGCAACGAGUAGACGGUAGUUAUUGCAUUAAGGAAAAAUCCAAACUAAUGCAAUUAAGGUGUACUCUAACGGGUUUCGAAAGAAACUAUCAAGUCAAAGUCCUUUCUAACCAAAAUUUUAAUAAAAAAUUUUAUUCUAGCCACAAAGUGGAAAGCGGAAUAACAUUGAAUCCAAAUUUUGUAACUGGAUUUUCUGAUGCUGAGGGGUCUUUUUAUAUCACUAUUUAUCCUUCUGAAAGAGUCAGUACUAAAAUAAGAGUAAUGGCUAGAUUUAAACUAGGAUUAAAUGUUAAAGAUCUUCCAUUAUUAAAACAAAUACAAGAGUUCUUUGGAGGUAUAGGAACAUUAACUUUUGAUAAAGAAAGCAAUGCUUGGAUUUAUUCAGUAAGUAGUGUUACAGAAUUGCUAAAUGUUAUAAUACCUCACUUUAAUAAAUAUUCAUUGUUGACGCAAAAAGCGGCUGAUUUUAAUUUAUUUGUGCAAGUAAUACAACUAAUGAAUGAGGGAGUACAUCUUAAUUUAAUUGGCUUACAAGAGAUAGUUAAUAUUAAAGCUUCUAUGAAUAAAGGUAAUAACGAUUUUAUUAGAUCUAAGUUUUCUCAAACAAUUCCAGUGAAAAGAGAUAUUAUUGAAACUAUAAAAAUACCAGAUCCACACUGGAUUUCGGGUUUUGUAAGUGGAGAAGGUAAUUUCGAUGCUGGAAUAAGAAAAGCAACUAGUACUAGAAAUGAAAGAGUGUAUUUAAGAUUUAGAUUAACUCAAUAUAUUAGAGAUCUUCUAUUAUUGAAUUUAAUAAUUGAAUAUUUAGGAGCUGGUAGAAUUGAAUGUGAUAACAGAAAAUAUCACUCUGUUGCAAGUAUAGUAGUAGGAAACUUUACAGAUAUAAACGAAAAAAUUAUUCCUUUCUUCGAACAAUAUCCUGUUUUAGGUAUUAAGAAUUUAAAUUAUAAAGAUUGAGCAAGAAUUGCUAGUUUGAUGUUCUUAGGNNNNNNNAAAGCAUAAAACACAAGAAGGAUUAGAAGAAAUCAAACUAAUAGAGGCUGGAAUGAAUAAAGGUAGAUAAAAUAUUAAAAAUUUGUAUGAUAAAUUUGAUUAACCGUGGGUGCCAGAAGACUCGGUAAGGCCAGAUACGCAAACGUUAAUCGUCCUAAUCAGGCGUAAAGGGUAUGUAGGCUGCUUUGAAAAUUUUAACUAUAAAAGCUCUAGCUAUAUCCUAGCUAUACUUAAAGCUAUAGUUGGGAUAUAAUAACUUAUGUCUUAGGCCUAGUUGCUUAAGCAAUAGCUGUACUCUCCUUAUAAUAUAUGAAGAUUACACCCUAAAGCUGUAGCUACAGUGCCAUAGUCCUCCCUUCCCUGUAUGAGAAUGGGAGGGUUUUUAUAAAAAUAAUAAAAUUAUUAAAAGCUAGAAUCAUAAGGAGGAUAAACCAAAUAAUACUUAGAGUAGGGUUGAUAUCUGCAGAUACUAAGGGGAAUACUAACGGUGAAAGCUUUUUAUCUAAUAAUGAUUGACGCUGAGAAACGAAGGUGAGAAUAGGAAAUAGGAUUAGAUACCCAGAUACCUCUCACUGUCAACGAUGAAUGGUAGUUGUUAGUCAUAUUAAAACUGAUAACGAUGUUAACACGAUAACCAUUCCGCCUUGCGAGUACGGUUGCAAAACUGAAACCAAAAAAAUUAGU